UACGAAGGGGGCAAGCGUUGUUCGGAUUUACUGGGCGUAAAGGGCGCGCAGGCGGCUCUUCAAGUCAGAUGUGAAAGCCCCGGGCUCAACCUGGGAACUGCAUUUGAGACUGAAGAACUCGAGUUCGGGAGAGGAUGGCGGAAUUCCCAGUGUAGAGGUGAAAUUCGUAGAUAUUGGGAAGAACACCGGUGGCGAAGGCGGCUCUCUGGACCGAGACUGACGCUGAGGCGCGAAAGCGUGGGGAGCAAACAGGG
rnacentral:rRNA from 1 species